rnacentral:lncRNA from 10 species
UCUAAUCCAUAUCUGUUUUUUCAUUCAGUAUCAUUUAAAACUUACUAUAUUAAGUUAAAAAAAACAACAACAAAAACCGAAAGAAAUAUAAAGUAAACUUAGAGUUAUUUUUCUCCAGAAGACUUCUUUCACUUUGAGCCUCCAAAAAAAGGAGAGUGGAAGACUGGGGUGGGAUUGCAUUAUCCAAUAACCAUUAUUUUUAGUCAAUCAGGACUCGAUCAAUAUCAGUUGUGUGGAUCCACAAGACUAUAUAUUAUCUUCUCAUUCUUUAUCAGUUCCUUCUUCCACCUAAGCAAAAUAUAAAUUUUAUUUAAUAGAUCAGGUAAGAAGCAUAAGUUCUUAUUUUUGUCUAGGUAUUGAAAGGAAUUGCCAAAGUGGAGUUUCUCUUCCACUUUAGACUUCAACACCCAGCAAAACUUGACAACUAUCACACUAUGUAUUUCAUUGUGAUUUAAAAAAUACUGUAAGAUAGUGUGAUUGUUGCUAAAAGUAAGUCUUCAUGUUGACUUUUAUCUUUACAAAUGCUUUGAAUAUCUAAAUUUAUGUCAAAAUUCAAAUCACGUAAGCAUG